CACAUCUGGGUGCAGUGGCUCACGCCUAUAAUCCCAGCACUUUGGGAGGCCAAGGCGGACGGAUCAUUGGAGGUCGGGAGUUCGAGACCAGCCUGACCAACAUGGAGAAACGCCAUCUCUACUAAAAAUAUAAAAUUAGCCGGGCAUGGUGGCACAUGCCUGUAAUCUCAGAUACUCAAGAGGCUGAGGCAGGAGAACACAUGGCCAGAGCAGGAGCAAGAGUCGGGGUAGGGGUUCGGCUUCUGCUAUGUUCAGAGAAGCCCAAAACCCCAGGCCAGAGUGCAGUGGCGCUAUCUGGGCUCACUGCAAGCUCCACCUCCCAGGUUCACGCCAUUCUCCUGCCUCAGCCUCCCGAGUAGCUGGGACUACAGGCGCCCGCCACCGCGCCCGGCUAAUAUUUUGUAUUUUUAGUAGAGACGGGGUUUCACCGUGUUUGCCAGGAUGGUCUCGAUCUCCUGACCUCGUGAUCUGCCCGCCUCGGCCUCCCAAAGCGCUGGGAUUACAGGCGUGCGCCACCGCGCCCGGCCCCAGAGAACUCACUGUCUUGAGGACAGCAUUAAGGGGAUGGUGUUAGACCAUUACUGAGAAACCGCCCCCAUGACCUGGUCACCUCCCACCAGGCACCACCUCCAACAGUGGGGAUUACAAUCUGAUGUGGGAUUUGAUGGGGAAACAUAUCCAAACCAUAUCACUGAUUUAGAACUUGAAAUGAAAUAUUAAUGUUUGAGAUGUCAUUUUUUUUUUUACAAAAGUAAACUUUUAAUUUUAGAAUAGUUUUAGACUUAUAAAAAAUAUUACAAAGAUAGUACAGGGAGUUCCCUCAUACCUCACACUCAGUUUGCCUUCUUACCAUCUUACAUUAGUCUGAUACAUUGUCACAACUGAUGAAUCAGUAUGGAUACAUUAUUAUUAAUCUAGGUCCACUGUUUAGUGCAAUUUCCUUAGUUUUUCCUUAACAUCUUUUCCUGUUCCGAGAUCCUAUCCAGCAUAUCCCAUUACAUUUUGUCAUCCUUUCUCCUGUAGGCUCCAUUUGGACAUGACACGUUCUCAGACUUUCCUUGUUUUUGAUCACCCAGACAGUUUGAGUACUGCUCAGGUAUUUUGCAGACUGUCCCUCAGUAGGAAU
rnacentral:lncRNA from 10 species